CCAUGUCAGCUCCACGGUGGCCGCCAACUAGCGAACUGUAGUUAGUGCGAGAAUAUUCCCUAUCAAUCGGCGAUGUUCGAAUCAGCUUAAUACGAUUCGGGCCCAUGUGCACAAGAGAGGUGAGAUAUCCGAAUCUUACUGUUGUUUUGGACUGAUGUCCAUGUGGCCUAGCUGUUGAUUGGGUCUUGCCCCCUCACUGCUGAUUGUGUUGCCAUGUGUCAAGCCACCAUUGGGGGAGAAGAUUUCCACUAUCACCUUUGCUUUGAAAAAAAAAUAAAAAGAUAUCUUAAUUAAUUUAUAGUGCCUACUCUGGUGCAUUCUUGUGUUUUUCCUUAAUUGAUUUGCCUCUGAUGAAGAUGGCAAGAUAUCAGUAAAUCAACCAUCUGCAAGCAACAUAAAUCUAUAUAGUGAAUCAGGACAACCAAGUUUACUUGCCGGCUUGCUGCAUCCAUGUUCAUUUCUACAAUGCAAGAAAUCGGCAGGAGAUGUAACUCUUAAGAUUGAGUUAAAGGUCCAUAAAUGGAGGCAGUAAGGAUUUGCAACAUUAUGUUGAGAGUCGGCACUGCUUGGUCCAAUCUUGAAAGCGCAAGGUCGUCCAUGUGGCUUCUCAGGGGGAAGAAAGAUGGGGGAGCGAGGUCGGGCCGAGGAGCUCGGCUCGGGGGCUAUGAUCGAAUCUUCGAUGGCGUCUUGAGGUGGAGAAGCGUUGCGCUCAAUCUUGCCAGGAUCCUACACAAUAGGUCAAUAUCGGGGGGAGGUUCCCGACCCGACCCCUCCGAUGGUUAAGUUUGUGAGUGCAGGUAUGUCUUUUUUUUGUCUCCCCUUCUCCCAGGAUAGGGAAUUGGUAUUUAUACA